rnacentral:rRNA from 1 species
UACGGAGGAUGCGAGCGUUAUCCGGAUUUAUUGGGUUUAAAGGGUGCGUAGGCGGUCUGUUAAGUCAGCGGUAAAAUUGCGGGGCUCAACCCCGUCGAGCCGUUGAAACUGGCAGACUUGAGUUGGCGAGAAGUACGCGGAAUGCGCGGUGUAGCGGUGAAAUGCAUAGAUAUCGCGCAGAACUCCGAUUGCGAAGGCAGCGUACCGGCGCCACACCGACGCUGAAGCACGAAGGCGUGGGUAUCGAACAGG